rnacentral:rRNA from 1 species
AGAGUUUGAUCAUGGCUCAGAUUGAACGCUGGCGGCAGGCCUAACACAUGCAAGUCGAGCGGCAGCGGGAAGUAGUUUACUACUUUGCCGGCGAGCGGCGGACGGGUGAGUAAUGUCUGGGGAUCUGCCUGAUGGAGGGGGAUAACUACUGGAAACGGUAGCUAAUACCGCAUGACCUCGCAAGAGCAAAGUGGGGGACCUUAGGGCCUCACGCCAUCGGAUGAACCCAGAUGGGAUUAGCUAGUAGGUGGGGUAAUGGCUCACCUAGGCGACGAUCCCUAGCUGGUCUGAGAGGAUGACCAGCCACACUGGAACUGAGACACGGUCCAGACUCCUACGGGAGGCAGCAGUGGGGAAUAUUGCACAAUGGGCGCAAGCCUGAUGCAGCCAUGCCGCGUGUGUGAAGAAGGCCUUCGGGUUGUAAAGCACUUUCAGCGAGGAGGAAGGGGUUGAGUUUAAUACGCUCAAUCAUUGACGUUACUCGCAGAAGAAGCACCGGCUAACUCCGUGCCAGCAGCCGCGGUAAUACGGAGGGUGCAAGCGUUAAUCGGAAUUACUGGGCGUAAAGCGCACGCAGGCGGUUUGUUAAGUCAGAUGUGAAAUCCCCGCGCUUAACGUGGGAACUGCAUUUGAAACUGGCAAGCUAGAGUCUUGUAGAGGGGGGUAGAAUUCCAGGUGUAGCGGUGAAAUGCGUAGAGAUCUGGAGGAAUACCGGUGGCGAAGGCGGCCCCCUGGACAAAGACUGACGCUCAGGUGCGAAAGCGUGGGGAGCAAACAGGAUUAGAUACCCUGGUAGUCCACGCUGUAAACGAUGUCGACUUGGAGGUUGUGCCCUUGAGGCGUGGCUUCCGGAGCUAACGCGUUAAGUCGACCGCCUGGGGAGUACGGCCGCAAGGUUAAAACUCAAAUGAAUUGACGGGGGCCCGCACAAGCGGUGGAGCAUGUGGUUUAAUUCGAUGCAACGCGAAGAACCUUACCUACUCUUGACAUCCACGGAAUUUAGCAGAGAUGCUUUAGUGCCUUCGGGAACCGUGAGACAGGUGCUGCAUGGCUGUCGUCAGCUCGUGUUGUGAAAUGUUGGGUUAAGUCCCGCAACGAGCGCA